rnacentral:rRNA from 1 species
GACGAACGCUGGCGGCGUGCCUAAUACAUGCAAGUAGAACGCUGAAGAGAGGAGCUUGCUCUUCUUGGAUGAGUUGCGAACGGGUGAGUAACGCGUAGGUAACCUGCCUGGUAGCGGGGGAUAACUAUUGGAAACGAUAGCUAAUACCGCAUAACAACAGUUGUUGCAUGACAGCUGUUUAAAAGAUGCAAUUGCAUCACUACCAGAUGGACCUGCGUUGUAUUAGCUAGUUGGUGAGGUAACGGCUCACCAAGGCGACGAUACAUAGCCGACCUGAGAGGGUGAUCGGCCACACUGGGACUGAGACACGGCCCAGACUCCUACGGGAGGCAGCAGUAGGGAAUCUUCGGCAAUGGGGGGAACCCUGACCGAGCAACGCCGCGGGAGUGAAGAAGGUUUUCGGAUCGUAAAGCUCUGUUGUAAGAGAAGAACGGGUGUGAGAGUGGAAAGUUCACACUGUGACGGUAUCUUACCAGAAAGGGACGGCUAACUACGUG